rnacentral:rRNA from 1 species
AGCGAACGUUUGCGGCGGGCCUAACACAUGCAAGUCGAACGCACUAGCAAUAGUGAGUGGCGCACGGGUGCGUAACACGUGGGUAAUCAACCCUUCAGCCUGGGAUAACGACUCGAAAGGGUCGCUAAUACCGGAUACGGCGCGAGAGGCUUCGGCUUCUCACGAGAAAGCCACGCAAGGGGCACUGAAGGACGAGCCUGCGGCCCAUCAGCUAGUUGGUGAGGUAAGAGCUCACCAAGGCUAAGACGGGUAGCUGGUUUGAGAGAAUGAUCAGCCACACUGGCACUGGAACACGGGCCAGACUCCUACGGGAGGCAGCAGUGAGGAAUAUUGGGCAAUGGGCGAAAGCCUGACCCAGCCACGCCGCGUGAGUGAUGAAGGCCCUCGGGUCGUAAAGCUCUGUGGAGAGGGACGAAAACCCUGGUUUCAAAUAGGCUCCAGGCUUGACGGUACCUCUUUAGCAAGCACCGGCUAACUCUGUGCCAGCA